rnacentral:rRNA from 1 species
UAGGGAAUCUUCGGCAAUGGACGAAAGUCUGACCGAGCAACGCCGCGUGAGUGAAGAAGGUUUUCGGAUCGUAAAACUCUGUUGUUAGAGAAGAACAAGGACGUUAGUAACUGAACGUCCCCUGACGGUAUCUAACCAGAAAGCCACGUCUAACUACGUGCCAGCAGCCGCGGUAAUACGUAGGUGGCAAGCGUUGUCCGGAUUUAUUGGGCGUAAAGCGAGCGCAGGCGGUUUCUUAAGUCUGAUGUGAAAGCCCCCGGCUCAACCGGGGAGGGUCAUUGGAAACUGGGAGACUUGAGUGCAGAAGAGGAGAGUGGAAUUCCAUGUGUAGCGGUGAAAUGCGUAGAUAUAUGGAGGAACACCAGUGGCGAAGGCGGCUCUCUGGUCUGUAACUGACGCUGAGGCUCGAAAGCGUGGGGAGCAAACAGG